rnacentral:lncRNA from 1 species
UGGAUUUCACUGCAGACAAGCAGAGAGAAGAAUUGUGAGCAUAAAUAAAGACAUUAUUUACGUUGAUGAAUUAAUUCUGCUGAAAAUAAAGAAAACGAGAAGGUAAAGCUUCUAGUGCACAGGAUUCGCUGACCUGUUGGUCGUUGUUGGUGUGAUCACUUGUGAGAUCUCUCUGGCAGGCAUGGUCAAGAAUGGAUUCUGUUGCUUCCACCUGCGCAUGGGAGAUCCUUCAACGUCUUCCAGGUCAUGGUAGCUUCGGUCAUCUGAUAGCCGCAGGACAGGAUGAUUGGGGUGUGUGUUCACUUCUUCUUCCAACAUACCAAGCCUGGCGACCGUAGAAUCACCGAGUGAAAUCACCUUCAGACAUAAAAGGUGCUUGACACCAAUAAUCCCUGACUUCAAAUUGCAGAAAUUGAUUUCUAUCCUUUCCAUCUGACGGGAGGUGCCCUCCUCAAAUCUAAUCUCUUUCAGGCCGUCCAUAUUCCAAAUCUCAAGUGUCCUGAGGUUCAGGAAUGCUCCCGUUCCAAACACUAGUUUCUCCCCAAGGGAUGCACGGAAGUAAAUUCGAAGGAGCAUGAGUUUUGGCAGCUCCCCAAGUAUCUCCAUGGUUUUAUCUUCCUUUAGUUGGCUAUCCCAUAAUGAAAGCUUCACCAGGUGUGUAAGAUUCCUGAACCAGUCAGUCAUCUCUCCUAUAUAUCCGGACAACAUGAGGCUCCUCAGGUGGGGAGGAGGGGAGGAAGAAGAAAUCAACCAUCCAAGUCCUCUAUCCUGGUUUUCACCGGCCCACACAGUGAGAGAACGAAGGGAAGAGAGCUUCUCAAUGGAUUCACAAAGUAUCUUACACUUUUUCUUGGAAGCCCCGGUUGUUCCCGUGGCUAGUUUUCUUAAUCGGGUGAGCUCCCCGAGCUCUUUAACUGCAUUGCUGCUAGUUCUUCUAAUGUCCACACGCUCUAGUAUCUGCAACUCUUUUAAGUUGCCAAUUCCUCUUGGAACCCUCACUCCAUUUCUGCUAGUUCUGGACCAACCACUAGAGCAGCCCAUGUGUAGAUCACCAAUUGCUCUGUCACGGCUUUUUGAAUCAGCUAAUAGGAUUGGCAGGCGCAAUGUGGCAAACAAACAAUGCACUGGUUCAUCUGGAUCCAAGUAGUUAGGGAAAUUCCUAUCACAGCGAAUGGCACGGAGAUCUUCAAGUUUAGUGAUUUGUGUUGGCAGAGUUGUAAUAUAAGUAUACCCUAUGUUCAAAAUUUGCAAGCCAUGCAGUUUUCCAAUGUCACUCGGAAGUGAAUAGAUUGUUGACCAGUAAGUCCUGACAUCCAGAUAUUUCAAGUGACACAAUAGCACUAUAAUAUUUAUACCACCUUGUGUGAUUCUAAAAUUUUCACCCACUAAAUCCAGAACUCGUAGCAUCCUCAACCUAGGUGUAGAAAUUGAAUGUGUGAGAUCCAGAUCCAUACCACAGGACCCCUUAGUAAAUAAAGUUAAUGACCGAAUAUGCCUCCAAUCCAUGCCUUCCUUUUGGCACUUGCUGUCAUGGUAUGCAACAUGACGAAAGUUUUCAUCUGGUACAUUAUUUCCAUUACUCUGGAUUAAGUGGACAAAAUUUUCUUCUCUAGAAAUUGAGACUAUGAUAUCACGCAUGAUGUCAUGAACUCGACAAGUUUUAACACUUCCCUCCAUACCCAACCUUGAUGAUUGAAUCAUACUCCGGCUGAUUAGCUCAUCAAAGUACUCUUUGCCAACCUCAUCAAUGGUUGUCCCAACCUUUGCUCUUACAAACCCUUCUGCUAUCCAUCUACCAACCAGAUGACUUCUUUUGAUUUCAUAAUCUUCAGGGAAAAUGCUGAGAUACAGAAGACAUGGCUUAAGACAUGACGGCAAGUGGUUGUAGCUGAGGGUUACCACCCUCCUUAUUGCUUCAAGGCUUGGGUUACUUUCAAGCUCUGAAGGGAGUUUUUGAUAAAAGUUUUCCCACUCUGCUUUCUUCUUAGUGGCUAGAACACCUCCUAUUGUGAGUAUUGCCAAUGGUAAAUAUCCACACUUCUUUACUACUUUUGUAACUAUUGUGCUCAGGUUCUUGUCUUUGUCCAUUUCUUCAUGUGUUAUGUUUGUCUUUCGUUGUAGCAACUUCAUGGCAUCAUCUAUUUCUAGGGGUUUUAGGUCGUAGAUGAGUAAUUCUGAAGUACAGUGUCUUGCCAAGGCAGCAUCUCUGGUAGUAACAAUUAUCCGACUACCUUUGUUAUUUGACCUAGGAAGUGCAAUACCACUAAUCCAAUUCCAAUGAUUUAUUUCCCAUAGGUCAUCAUAAACAAUAAAGUACCUCUUGUCUUGAAGCUGUGUUCUGAGGUAGCUAGCAAGACGGUCUUCUAGCACUUUCCCGACAAGUUGUUCCAAGAGUUUCUUCAAUGCAUCAGGUCCAAAAAAUUGAC